rnacentral:tRNA from 1 species
GAUGGUGUAGCUCAGCGGUUAGAGCGGUUGACUGUUAAUCAACGGGUCGAUUGUUCAAAUCCAUCCACCAUCGCCA